rnacentral:rRNA from 1 species
UACGUAGGUGGCAAGCGUUGUCCGGAAUCAUUGGGCGUAAAGAGCGCGUAGGCGGCUUGUCAGGUCCGAUGUGAAAUCUUGGGGCUCAACCCCAAACGUGCAUCGGAAACCGGCUUGCUAGAGUCUGGGAGAGGAGAGUGGAAUUCCUGGUGUAGCGGUGAAAUGCGUAGAUAUCAGGAGGAACACCGGUUGCGAAGGCGGCUCUCUGGAACAGUACUGACGCUGAGGCGCGAAAGCUAGGGGAGCGAAC